UACAGGGGGUGCAAACGUUGCUCGGAAUCAUUGGGCGUAAAGCGCACGUAGGCGGCUUGGCAAGUCGGAUGUGAAAUCCCUCGGCUCAACCAAGGAAGUGCAUCCAAAACUGCUGAGCUUGAGUACUUAAGAGGAUCGCGGAAUUCCCGGUGUAGAGGUGAAAUUCGUAGAUAUCGGGAGGAACACCAGUGGCGAAGGCGGCGAUCUGGGAAGAUACUGACGCUGAGGUGCGAAAGCUCGGGGAGCAAACAGG
rnacentral:rRNA from 1 species